rnacentral:rRNA from 1 species
CGGAGGGUGCAAGCGUUAUCCGGAUUCACUGGGUUUAAAGGGUGCGUAGGCGGGCAGGUAAGUCCGUGGUGAAAUCUCUGAGCUUAACUCAGAAACUGCCAUGGAUACUAUUUGUCUUGAAUAUUGUGGAGGUAAGCGGAAUAUGUCAUGUAGCGGUGAAAUGCUUAGAUAUGACAUAGAACACCAAUUGCGAAGGCAGCUUACUACACAGUUAUUGACGCUGAGGCACGAGAGCGUGGGGAUUCAAACAGGAUUAGAUACCCUGGUAGUCCACGCCCUAAACGAUGAUUACUCGACAUCAGCGAUACACUGUUGGUGUCUGAGCGAAAGCAUUAAGUAAUCCACCUGGGAAGUACGAUCGCAAGAUUG